rnacentral:tRNA from 1 species
GCCUGGCUAGCUCAGUUGGUAGAGCGUCAGACUUUAAUUUGAGGGUCCAGGGUUCAAGUCCUGGUCAGGUG